rnacentral:rRNA from 1 species
CAGUAGCCGCGGUAACACGAAGGGUGCAAGCGUUACUCGGAAUUACUGGGCGUAAAGCGUGCGUAGGUGGUGGUUUAAGUCCGUUGUGAAAGCCCUGGGCUCAACCUGGGAAUUGCAGUGGAUACUGGGUCACUAGAGUGUGGUAGAGGAUAGUGGAAUUUCCGGUGUAGCAGUGAAAUGCGUAGAGAUCGGAAGGAACAUCUGUGGCGAAGGCGACUAUCUGGGCCAACACUGACACUGAGGCACGAAAGCGUGGGGAGCAAACAGGAUUAGAGACCCCUGUAGUCCCUGUCUCUUAUAC